rnacentral:rRNA from 1 species
UACGGAGGGGGCUAGCGUUGUUCGGAAUUACUGGGCGUAAAGCGCGCGUAGGCGGACCUGCAAGUCGGGGGUGAAAGCCCGAGGCUCAACCUCGGAACUGCCUUCGAUACUGCGGGUCUCGAGUCCGGGAGAGGUGAGUGGAAUUCCUAGUGUAGAGGUGAAAUUCGUAGAUAUUAGGAAGAACACCAGUGGCGAAGGCGCUCUGCUAGGCCGUAACUGACACUGAGGGACGAAAGCUAGGGGAGCGAAUGGG